rnacentral:hammerhead_ribozyme from 1 species
AUCCAGAUGACGAGUCCCAAAUAGGACGAAAUGCGCAUCCUAGCU